CAUAACCCUAGCAGCCAUUCAUCAUCAGGCAAACGAAGCAGCUAGAAGAGAGACAGACGCCAUAGCCAUCGCACCUCGCGUUCGUCUCCUUUCGCCGGAAAACCAGCUCCAUCGCCACCGCUUGUCUUACCGCCGUCGCCGAGUAGCGCCACCGUUGCCGCUGGACGACGCCGACGCAGGAAGAAGCCAGACGGGGGGCGGGCGAUCUUCAACAGUCGCCGCCGCUGCGACGCCGUGACCGCCGUAAAGAUCGCAACGGGCGAUUGAAUUCCGAUCAGGACGCCGAUCGGUAAUAACCAAGGUUGUAUGAUAUGUAAAAACUGCUAUAACAGGAACUACUAUAACAGGAGAAUGAAGACAAGAAGAAAGGGAAGUAUUCUUAUUCAUCAUUCUUGUAUAUUUACAAGAGGGAAACCAUAUAUAUAUAAUAUAUAAGUAAUAAUAACACUACUAAUGACCGUUACAAUGGUUACAUAAUAAUGGCCACAUGAAUAUAUCAUUUAUAACUUAUAUUUUACCAUAUUUAGAUUAAUCUGAUUCAUACUGGGUCAACCUAAUUAUGAGACACCUUACUUAAGGAACAAGAGUGCACAAUUUUUGAUCACUUACUUCUGUGGUUCAUACUUCAUAUUCUGUAUUAAUACCAGGUUUAUUUCUACACGGCCGAAUAUUUUUAUUUUUAUUCUAAUCAAACGGGGCUCCGAAUCUGAGCAAAAGUAGCUGAAAA